AAUUUAGUAAUUUGAUGAAUAAAAAGUGAAUUUGUUGUCGCAUAAAAAUAACAUAGACCUACUCCAAUAAUGUAUAGAAACUUAUGCUCACAAGCAUUAAGAAUACAAAAAUGCAUAGAAGUGCUCCAUUGUGUGUAUAGAAACUUAUGCACACAAGCAUAAGAACACCAAAAAUCAACAAACAAAAUACAAAAAAUCCUUGGCUGCGUCGCGCUGCUCCUUUGCUAUCUUCCAUCCAACCGACCACCAUCGCUGAUUCGCACUAGUGCCGCCGCUGUGAACUACACGCCACCAACCGCCACCGCUGCUUUAUACCAGCACCGCGGCCGUGGACUGCAUCAUGCAGUGGACUUGCUGCCCCUGGAUGGUUCUGAAUGUGUAAAAUCUUCAUUCAUCAAGCAUAGAACCCACGAAGCAUAGAGAUCCAAAGUCAAUUGCAUAAAAACUUAUUCAUUGCAUAUAAUGUCAAAGAAAUGCAUAAAAAUCAAAAUCAAAGCAUAGAAAAUCCUGUUUACUUGUGUUGAUAGCUUUUUCAUUUCAUGCAAACCACCUAUUCAUCCAAGGCUGCAACCAAAAAUUAAAUAAAACCCAUACAACUAAGCAUAGAAGAAUUGUGCGCAGAUAAUUCUUCUAACAGUGCAUAGAAAAGUGCUCCACAAUGCAUCUGAACAAAAAAUCCAAGGAUCCAAGGCUGCGUAGGUACAUAGAGAUGAUUAUUCAAACAAUAUAUGUCGAAUUGUUCUAACAGUGCAUAAAAGAGUGCUCCACAAUGUAUACAAACUUCAAGAUUUAGAAUUUGAAAUCAAUUAGGGUGGAAACAAAUACAACUAAGCAUAAUCACAGUUUCACCAUGCAUCUAAAUCUAUACAUGCAAAUAUAAAAACUAUUACUUUCCUUUGGAUCAGCAUGCAAAAAAAAUCUUAGCACCCAACCAACAACAAAAUGUAUAAAAUGUGCUCCAAACAAUGUAUAAAAAUAGUAGUAACAAAUCAGAGAAAGUUUUGAGUAUACGCACCCUCUGCAGCCAACAAUGCUAGAAUGCUCCCAAUAAAUCACUGAGUAGUGCGUAGAAACAUGAUACUAGUUUUUUAUCAGGUAUGAGAACACAAUUUCAUCAUGCAUACACAAUUAGGCAUGCAACCAUAGUAACCAAGUAAAAAGCAAAAAAAAUUAUAGAACUAGUCAUAGAAGUCAUCACCAUAAGAAGAGGCAUCAUGUCGGAGCCAAUGAGGUGGGCCAAGCCCUGUGUUCCAAGUCUAAAGAAAAUACAAGCAAUCAAAUUUCAUAGUCAAGACUAGAUCUGAAUAUUUUAAAUACAUCCGAAAAGUUUCUAUACAUCCAACAAAGGAAACCUAACUGGCAAGACAUUACAUGGAUUCAACGGAUCUGAGCAUGGAUUUAUUUCUCCAUCAGAAAAUCAAUGGCAAAAGGGAAAGUGGAUUUAUAUCUUGUUUGGCUGCAGGAGGUUGCCGUGCUUGAAUCUUCUUUAGCUGCACGAACUGAUUGCCGCACAUGACCCAACGCCAUGGGAUUGUUGAACCUUCACGAGAUGAGUGGACUUUCACCUGGUUCAUUGUUUUGUUCUAGAUCUGCACACAUGGAGG
rnacentral:lncRNA from 1 species